GUAAGAUCCCUGAAAGAUGAUCAGGUUGAUAGGUCAGAGGUGGAAGCGUGGCGACAUGUGGAGCUGACUGAUACUAAUCGAUCGAGGACUUAACCUU
rnacentral:rRNA from 1 species